CUUUGAGCCAGCGUACCAGAUUUGAAGGUUGUGUGUACCCACAAAAAGUGAUAGCAUCGGAGCGAGAUCCUUUGUGACGAAGACAUGCGGAAUGUCUUCUUUUUCACAGCCUUCGGCUGCGUCUUUGAAAAGGUGCUUUCAGACGCAAUAAAUACACCAGGUUGCGGCGUUGGACUGCCACUAAGCCGAAUCGUCAACGGGAGGGCAAUAUCCAAGUUUCAAGUACCUUGGAUCGUACGU